rnacentral:rRNA from 1 species
CUNNNANGCAGUCGAAACGAUGAUGCCCAGCUUGCUGGGUGGAUUAGUGGCGAACGGGNNNGUAACACGUGAGUAACCUGCCCCUGACUCUGGGAUAAGCGUUGGAAACGACGUCUAAUACUGGAUAUGAUCACUGGCCGCAUGGUCUGGUGGUGGAAAGAUUUUUUGGUUGGGGAUGGACUCGCGGCCUAUCAGCUUGUUGGUGAGGUAACGGCUCACCAAGGCGACGACGGGUAGCCGGCCUGAGAGGGUGACCGGCCACACUGGGACUGAGACACGGCCCAGACUCCUACGGGAGGCAGCAGUGGGGAAUAUUGCACAAUGGGCGAAAGCCUGAUGCAGCAACGCCGCGUGAGGGAUGACGGCCUUCGGGUUGUAAACCUCUUUUAGUAGGGAAGAAGCGAAAGUGACGGUACCUGCAGAAAAAGCACCGGCUAACUACGUGCCAGCAGCCGCGGUAAUACGUAGGGUGCAAGCGUUGUCCGGAAUUAUUGGGCGUAAAGAGCUCGUAGGCGGUUUGUCGCGUCUGCUGUGAAAUCCCGAGGCUCAACCUCGGGCUUGCAGUGGGUACGGGCAGACUAGAGUGCGGUAGGGGAGAUUGGAAUUCCUGGUGUAGCGGUGGAAUGCGCAGAUAUCAGGAGGAACACCGAUGGCGAAGGCAGAUCUCUGGGCCGUAACUGACGCUGAGGAGCGAAAGCAUGGGGAGCGAACAGGAUUAGAUACNNUGGUNGUCCAUNCCGUAAACGUUG